UUUGUGUAAAUCCUGCUUGCUAUAUUCCCAGGGAAACUCCAAUGAAAGUAAGCCUCGUAGAUGUAAAAAGAGGUAUAUAAAGAAGAACAAACUUCUAUUCUGUGUUCUAGAGACUGACAGAAAUCACUCACUGAGCUGCAGGCAUUAAAGGCUGAUUUCCUCCUUCUUCGUGUGUCAAAGUGUUCUGUUUGGGUAUCCCCAGAGUUUCCUGCUUCAUUGGCAUAUGACUCACAUGAGCUGCAUUCGGAACCCAGCUCUGACAGCAGCCUUGUCCAGGACCCAUGGGCCUGUCAGCUCCUCAGGCUUUGCGCUGAAUUUUCAGAUGGACAGGCUGAGACUCAGAGAGAUGGUGACUUGCUGAAGCCAAACUGAGUCAAUGAUGAAACCACAGCCAGUUCUAGGGGACCUUACAGUGGAAGUCUGCAACUUCUACAUCAUCCUCAGGCAGCCUCCUCCCCAGCCCCCACCCUGACUCCUUCAAGGCAGCCUCAGGAUCCCUAGCCCCACAUUAGCACCACAGCUGAGCUGGGGACAAAGGCGCUAUCACUCCUCUUUGGCUUCCUCCAUCACAGGUGACUCCACGGCCAUCCCCAGGGGCCCAGAAUAAUUCUAGAUUUGGGAGAAAGAGGGAAAUGUGUUCUUCAGCCCCAGGGCCCAAGCUGGGCCAGGCUCUCUAGGGAGACAAAACCAGAGCCCACAAAAUGGGAUUCUGCAGGAAGAGCAGAAGAGCCAUGACUGAGUGCAGCAUCUUCUUCCUCUCCGCUCCUGAUCGGGGGAGCGAUGCACUCAUUAACCCUGGGCCGGUACUGGGGACAUUGGCUGCAGGCACUGCUUCUGUGGGCCUGGGUGAGCCAGGGCUUGGUUUCGUGGUGGGGCUGUAUCUGUGUGUCCUGGGCAAGCCCCUUUGCCUCUCUGAGCCUGUUUC